GACGAACGCUGGCGGCGGGCCUAACACAUGCAAGUCGAGCGGAGCGGCGGACGGGUGAGUAAUGCCUAGGAAUCUGCCUGGUAGUGGGGGAUAACGUCAGGAAACGGGAGCUAAUACCGCAUACUAUCAGAUGAGCCUAGGUGGGAUUAGCUAGUUGGUGGGGUAAAGGCCUACCGAGGCGACGAUCCGGAACAGGUCUGGGAGGAUGAUCAGUCAAACUGGCACUGAGACACGGUCCAGACUCCUACGGGAGGCAGCAGUGGGGAAUAUUGGACAAUGGGCGAAAGCCUGAUCCAGCCAUGCAGCGUGUGUGAAGAAGGUCUUCGGGUUGUAAAGCUCUUUAAGUUGGGAGGCGUUACCAACAGAAUAAGCACCGGCUAACUUCGUGCCAGCAGCCGCGGUAAUUC
rnacentral:rRNA from 1 species